rnacentral:tRNA from 1 species
GUAAACAUAGUUUAAUUAAAACAUUAGAUUGUGAAUCUAAUAAUAGAAGUUUAAACCUUCUUAUUUACC